CUUGUACACACCGCCCGUCACACCACGAGAGUUUGUAACACCCGAAGUCGGUGAGGUAACCGUAAGGAGCCAGCCGC
rnacentral:rRNA from 1 species